rnacentral:rRNA from 1 species
UACGAAGGGGCUAGCGUUGCUCGGAAUCACUGGGCGUAAAGGGUGCGUAGGCGGGUCUUUAAGUCAGGGGUGAAAUCCUGGAGCUCAACUCCAGAACUGCCUUUGAUACUGAAGAUCUUGAGUUCGGGAGAGGUGAGUGGAACUGCGAGUGUAGAGGUGAAAUUCGUAGAGUAUUCGCAAGAACACCAGUGGCGAAGGCGGCUCACUGGCCCGAUACUGACGCUGAGGCACGAAAGCGUGG